CAGGGAAAGGCAAGCCUGCCUUCACCUAAAGAAGAAUGCGCUGCUGAAGAAACACCUUGUCCGAUGCCUCUAGAAGUGCUGAAUCUUGCUUUCUUGCUCGACUCUACCAUUUUAAAGCCAUGCCCUGAGGGAGGCUACAAAUCGGAAUCAGAGGCUGUGUACAGGUGCAUGUACGACCACUCGAUUACGUUCAAUUCCAAUUGUACGAAGCAAGGAAAAUGGAAUCCAAACGUGUUGGAUCCCGUAGCAAUCAGCACUCUACCUGCUUGUUCUGCAAGUGAUUUUGUUGCCGGAAGCAUCUGGCUCGUCCUUUCCGCGAUAUUUUUUAUCAACAUGUAAAGAGACGCCGAUCGACGAUCGACGCGUGUUCUGU